rnacentral:rRNA from 1 species
CAACUUUUAACAAUGGAUCUCUUGGCUCUGGCAUCGAUGAAGAACGCAGCGAAAUGCGAUAAUUAAUGUGAAUUGCAGAUUUCAGUGAAUCAUCGAGUUUUUGAACGCACAUUGCGCCCCCUGGUAUUCCUAGGGGCAUGCCUAUUCGAGCGUCGUUU